rnacentral:sRNA from 1 species
UGCCAAAUAUUUGUUGCCAGAAACUAAUUCAAAUUGUGCAAUCAACUGUAAGCCUAAUGAAAAACUAAGAUAAAAAAUAUAUAAACGGUAAACAAAAUCGAAAAAAUAAAGUGUGUGCAGUCAUCAAAUAUUUAUCUGGCAAUUGUGUGUUUAAGCUUCCACCGGAAUUUUUGUUUGCUGAAAAUAAAUUCCGUAAGAAGCUUGGAUUUAAAAAUGCCUGAACACCUGUAUAAUUAUUAAUUAGGUAACAAGUACCAGCCAUCGUCAUCAUCAUCGUCAUUAUUAUAAUCGUCAGCAGCAGUUGUUGAGUUGCGUUUAAAGGAGUUGGCCAGAAUAAAAUAAGAAAGUUGUCCAGGCGUUCCCCAUCCUCCAGCUGCUGCAAUUCCAGC